GAUCACUCAAGGCUUGCUGAGACAUAACUACGCAUUCAUACCAGUUGAGAAAAUAUCAUUAUCCUACGUUGAAAAUUAACUAGAAGAUACUGAUAAUUAUAUAGGUUUUAUGCAAUAUGGCAGUACAUAGAUCACUCGAUGCAUGCUGAGACAUGAAUUCACAUUUCUACCACUUCGGAAAGUAUCAAUAUCCUACAUGUAAAAUGGACUAGAAGAUACUGAAAAUAUUAAUGGUUUUAUACAAUAUGGCAAUACAGCAGAUCACUCAAGGCUUGCUGAGACAUGACUACGCAUUCAUACCAGUUGAGAAAAUAUCAUUAUCCUACGUUGAAAAUUAACUAGAAGAUACUGAUAAUUAUAUAGGUUUUAUGCAAUAUGGCAGUACAUAGAUCACUCGAUGCAUGCUGAGACAUGAAUUCACAUUUCUACCACUUCGGAAAGUAUCAAUAUCCUACAUGUAAAAUGGACUAGAAGAUACUGAAAAUAUUAAUGGUUUUAUACAAUAUGGCAAUACAGCAGAUCACUCAAGGCUUGCUGAGACAUGACUACGCAUUCAUACCAGUUGAGAAAAUAUCAUUAUCCUACGUUGAAAAUUAACUAGAAGAUACUGAUAAUUAUAUAGGUUUUAUGCAAUAUGGCAGUACAUAGAUCACUCGAUGCAUGCUGAGACAUGAAUUCACAUUUCUACCACUUCGGAAAGUAUCAAUAUCCUACAUGUAAAAUGGACUAGAAGAUACUGAAAAUAUUAAUGGUUUUAUACAAUGUACGUGUAAUGGUUAUCGACUGUAAUUGAUAUUUAAUUAAGAGUAGUGUGACAAUAAGUUAAUGCCGAGAAAUUCUGACAAUUACAUGAAGAAAGAAAUUCAAAUUUUGUAUUACUAACUUUCAUUAAUUUCAUUUAAGCUUAUACUUCAUAAACACUAUAAAACGUGUAUUUAUAUGGUAAUUUAGACAAAUAUAAAAAUUCAUAUUUUUAACUGCUUAUAAAACACUCAAUUCUCACGUUAGUCACAUCAA